UGGGGAAUUUUGGACAAUGGGCGCAAGCCUGAUCCAGCAAUGCCGCGUGCAGGAUGAAGGCCUUCGGGUUGUAAACUGCUUUUGUACGGAACGAAACAGCUCACUCUAAUACAGAGGGCGAAUGACGGUACCGUAAGAAUAAGCACCGGCUAACUACGUGCCAGCAGCCGCGGUAAUACGUAGGGUGCAAGCGUUAAUCGGAAUUACUGGGCGUAAAGCGUGCGCAGGCGGUGAUGUAAGACAGAUGUGAAAUCCCCGGGCUCAACCUGGGACCUGCAUUUGUGACUGCAUCGCUAGAGUACGGUAGAGGGGGAUGGAAUUCCGCGUGUAGCAGUGAAAUGCGUAGAUAUGCGGAGGAACACCGAUGGCGAAGGCAAUCCCCUGGACCUGUACUGACGCUCAUGCACGAAAGCGUGGGGAGCAAACAGGAUUAGAUACCCCCGUAGUCC
rnacentral:rRNA from 1 species